rnacentral:rRNA from 1 species
CCUACGGUGGGCAGCAGUGGGGAAUAUUGGGCAAUGGAGGAAACUCUGACCCAGCAAUGCCGCGUGAAUGAAGAAGGUCUUCGGAUUGUAAAGUUCUUUAGUCAGGGAAGAAUAAAAUGACGGUACCUGAAGAAUAAGCUCCGGCUAACUACGUGCCAGCAGCCGCGGUAAUACGGAGGGUGCAAGCGUUACUCGGAAUCACUGGGCGUAAAGAGCGCGUAGGCGGGAUAGCAAGUCAGAUGUGAAAUCCUAUGGCUUAACCAUAGAACUGCAUUUGAAACUGUUAUUCUAGAGUAUGGGAGAGGUAGGUGGAAUUCUUGGUGUAGGGGUAAAAUCCGUAGAGAUCAAGAGGAAUACUCAUUGCGAAGGCGACCUGCUAGAACAUAACUGACGCUGAUGCGCGAAAGCGUGGGGAGCAAACAGGAUUAGAUACCCCAGUAGUC